rnacentral:rRNA from 1 species
UCCACGCCCUAAACGAUGUCAACUAGGUGUUGGUGGGGUUAAACCCAUUAGUACCGCAGCUAACGCGUGAAGUUGACCGCCUGGGGAGUACGGCCGCAAGGUUAAAACUCAAAGGAAUUGACGGGGACCCGCACAAGCGGUGGAUGAUGUGGAUUAAUUCGAUGCAACGCGAAAAACCUUACCUACCCUUGACAUGCCAGGAACUUUCCAGAGAUGGAUUGGUGCCCGAAAGGGAGCCUGGACACAGGUGCUGCAUGGCUGUCGUCAGCUCGUGUCGUGAGAUGUUGGGUUAAGUCCCGCAACGAGCGCAACCCUUGUCAUUAAUUGCCAUCAUUUAGUUGGGCACUUUAAUGAGACUGCCGGUGACAAACCGGAGGAAGGUGGGGAUGGCGUCAAGUCCUCAUGGCCCUUAUGGGUAGGGCUUCACACGUCAUACAAUGGUCGGUACAGAGGGUUGCCAAGCCGCGAGGUGGAGCUGAUCUCAGAAAGCCGAUCGUAGUCCGGAUUGCAGUCUGCAACUCGACUGCAUGAAGUCGGAAUCGCUAGUAAUCGCGGAUCAGCAUGUCGCGGUGAAUACGUUCCCGGGUCUUGUACACACCGCCCGUCACACCAUGGGAGUGGGUUCUACCAGAAGUAGUUAGCCUAACCGUAAGGAGGGCGAUUACCACGGUGGGAUUCAUGACUGGGGUGAAGUCGUAACAAGG